rnacentral:lncRNA from 1 species
UAAAAUAUACUUUUAAAGUAUAUCUUUAAUUGUACUUCAGCACUACUUCCGCACAAUUAAAGUGUCACGAUCUCUAGCUGGAGUGCCUGUGAGCUUCAGUAGAGGGCACUCCACUCAGGACUCAUUCAGAACUCCAUUUCCCAUCCUGCCUCACUCCUGGGACUGAUUGCACACACACACCUGCACCUAAUUCCACACACACACCUGCAGCUAAUACACACACACCCAUAUAAGCAGCACACUCACACCAUCACACUGCGAAGUCUUGUUUAGCCCUGUCUAACAUUUCCGAGCGGUUUCCCUUUGUUUGUUCUUCCGUGUCUGACCUUUGGAUUGUGUAUUCUGACUCUGAUUCUCUGCUGCCUGCCCCGAUCUCUGCUUGUUUCUGGUUUCGAUUCUGGUUACCCCUGACAUACCUGAUGCCAUUCCUGAUUUCCACCUGUCUGACCACUCUGUUAAUAAAUACUGCAAUUGGAUCCGAACGUCUCUGACUCUCCAUUGUAACAGAAGACUUCGCCAAACCAGGAUCCAGCAGUCCGGAAUUCUCUCAUUACCAAGAUGUCAGUUCCCAAUUCUAGGUCAGUGUGCCCUAUCUAGCCCUAUCAUUGACCCAGUGGACCAGCUACUGCACCUUCGGCAAGGAGAUCAAUCUAUUGAGGAGUAUGUUCAGCAGUUCUGUGAGUUAGUAUAUCAAGUUCCUCUAAAUGAUGAAGCUUUAAGGACUUGUUUUGUUUUGGACUCAAUGAAUCAAUUAAAUCAUGGUUACCUGGAGGGGAAUUUAAUGGCCGUCUAAGAGACAUUCUGGACUAUGCACUCUUGUUAUGUGGUUCUCCUUUCACUGUGGGAGAGGCAGAGGACUUUAAAACCCCAAAGUCUCUCCACGAAAUGGCUACCAGCCCGGAGGCGGUUCACAAAAUGGCCGCCGCUCCUGAGACUCAUCCUGUCAUGGCUACCACUCCAGCGCCUGUGCACAAGAUGGCCACCAGCCCUGCGCCACAGCACAAGAUGGCCGACUCAAUGCCUGAGUCUCCGGACAAGGUACCACCGACUCGCCGUCAUAGAGGGCGGAGGAGGAGACAGGCAUCGACCGUUCCUCAAGGCCCGGAGGCCGUUCCCGAGCAGCCCGCUGCCGUUCCGGAGGCGGUGCCCGAGGCCGUUCCCGAUGCGGUGCCCGAGGCCGAGGCGGUGACCGAGGCGGGGUCUGAGGCCAUUCCUGAGGUGGUGCCCGAGGCGGUGUCCGAUGCGGUGCCCAACAGAUCAUCCAGAGCCUCGUCACUAGCCUGUCUGUUGCACCAAGCAAGGUUCUCUCAGCCUGUUGUAUUGAUGUCAAGGAGACUGUAACUGCUGCAGAACCUUCGGAGGUGUCAGUGUUGCACCAAGCAAGGUUCUCUCAGCCUGUUGUAUUGAUGUCAAGGAGACUGUAACUGCUGCAGAACCUUCGGAGGUGUCAGUAGUAUCCAUCCCAGGAACUCUCGUCCUGUCCUGUCACGGCCAAGGAGGUCGUCCACCAACUCACCGCCCAUCCUGUCACGGCCACGGAGGCCGUCUAUGAACUCAUUGCCUGCCCUGUCACGGCUAAGGAGGCCGUCUAUGAACUCU